AUUGAACGCUGGCGGAAUGCUUUACACAUGCAAGUCGAACGGCAGCACGGGGGCAACCCUGGUGGCGAGUGGCGAACGGGUGAGUAAUACAUCGGAACGUGCCCAGUCGUGGGGGAUAACGUAGCGAAAGCUACGCUAAUACCGCAUACGAUCUUCGGAUGAAAGCGGGGGACCGCAAGGCCUCGCGCGAUUGGAGCGGCCGAUGGCAGAUUAGGUAGUUGGUGGGGUAAAGGCUCACCAAGCCGACGAUCUGUAGCUGGUCUGAGAGGACGACCAGCCACACUGGGACUGAGACACGGCCCAGACUCCUACGGGAGGCAGCAGUGGGGAAUUUUGGACAAUGGGCGCAAGCCUGAUCCAGCCAUUCCGCGUGCAGGAUGAAGGCCCUCGGGUUGUAAACUGCUUUUGUACGGAACGAAACGGCGCUGGCCAAUACCCAGCGCUAAUGACGGUACCGUAAGAAUAAGCACCGGCUAACUACGUGCCAGCCGCCGCAGUAACAC
rnacentral:rRNA from 1 species